rnacentral:lncRNA from 1 species
GAGGUGGAAGAGUUGUUGUGGUGUUUUGUUGGAGGAGAGUGAGUCUAUGUGGUGUAGUUGAAGUGAGAGAGGUUCAGAGUCGGAUAGAGAUUCUUGUUCUGAUUCUUGUGGCCAUGAGAGGGUUGAAGGGUUAGGGAGAGAGUGAAUAGGUAGAGUUUGGGUUUGGAAAAGAGUGGUGGUGGUGGUGGAUGAGAGUGUGAAGGAGAUAGCUAAUAAUAGGAAGAGAAGGGUUCUUUUGUUGUAGUUCUCUUCCAUUGUAGUGAGAGUGAAGAGAAAAGAGUGUGAUAUGAGAGUAGUAGAAAUGGUGAAUAAAUAAGUAGUGGUACUAGUAGUAAGUAAUAAUUGAAUGAGAAGAGAGUGAGAGUGAGGUUCGGUGCGGUUGUGUUGAAAUGAGUGUGGGGUGGCUGAGUCAGUGCAGUGAUUGUUGUCUAACCAUAUUAGAUUACAUUACCCGUGUAAAAAUGAAUUAUUAUUAUUGCGUGUAGUUGGGUAAGGUUGGUGUUGUUGGGGUAGAGCUGGAUAUCAUUACCAGUAAUUGCUUUGCCUUUAUUGUUAUUCUAGAUAGACGGGUGAGUUAUGUUAUGGAGAAUCUUUCAUUGCUUCUUGCAAUUAGUUAUGGUAAGUAGUUACACUACCAACAAGUGGCCAAUGUCCAAUUUGCUACUACUAUGUGGCCAAUGCCCCAUGCAUUUAGUGAAUUUCUAUUCAAACUAAAUUUUGUAACUAGUUUCUUACGUUUGUUCAGAAUACUAAGUUUGUAAUUUUUAUCACUAAAGUAACAUUAAAUAUCGUUAAAAAUGUGUUAAGAAAAUAUUAUUAAUAGAUAAUUUUAUCUCUAAUGUGGCAUCUCUUUUAUUUUCUUAUAAUAUUAAACUAAUUAUUAUAGUUAUAUAAUCUUUCUGUUGAGAUAAUCAUUUAAAUUUAAAUUUAAAUUUUGCAAUUCAAAACAAAAAUUAAUAGUCAAGCGGAAACUUCUGAUAGUUGUAAGUGGAAAAAAAUAUUUUGUAAUUGAUAAAAAAAUAAUUAAUAUUUGGAUAAUUUUUUCGAAGGGAAUCAGAUGAAACCAUAAAACCAUAGAAAUUAAGUGUUUGAGAGGUUUUUUUUUACAAGAGAGGAAUGUCCAUCAUUUUUGUGGUCUUUCAAGUUCUUCUUUGUAUCCGUGUCACCCCUUUUGAUCAGUGUCACCCCUUUUGAUAUUCUCUUUGGAAUCUCUUAUGUAAUUCUCCUUUCAAUCCUUUUUCUUUGACUUUUUCUAUAAUGAGAUACCCCUACGCUUCCUAUGCUUGAAUUCUCAAGGAAAUGUAUGUCGUCUCACUAAUGACUACUAAUCAUGAGUUGCAACAGUUCAAACAUCAAUUUUGUAACCUCUAUGUGACCCUGUUCGCACGGGUUUUUGGGCGAAGAAUCUCUAACCUCCUAUUGAGGUUUACUUGCAGGAUCAGCUACAAAAUCCUAGACUAAGUGUUAAGUUUAUGAGAUGUUUUAUUUAAAUGUUUGGAUUAAGAAAACAAUAGACACGAAAUGCAUGUAAAAGGUGCAAUUAAAAUAGAUGGACGAAAGACAAGAUAAACCGUAAAUGGCAAAGUAGAUAAAAAGACUUGGUAAUUUAAAUUGCUUGAAGGUAAAUGUGGACGCAAUCAUACAUUUUCGUAGGAAUGAACUUUUUUCUCUAAAUGCUUGAUACUUUGAGUGUUUUCCCUCUACAAUGUUACAAAUGCGACCUUUAAAACUAACAAUGAACUUUGCUUAAAUAGGAAAUAAAAUUAACUUCUAUUUCGCUCUUGAUGAUUAAUAGCUUGACAUGUGUUUGUCCACUUACUUUAUAACUUCUCACGUUCUUACUAUUUUCAAAUCUUACCCACGUAAACUGUCAUUUGCUUCGACUUCGACCUGCACAUUUUCUAUCUGUCGGACCUAUUUCAACUUGGCCUGUGUUCCAUAUUCGUCUUGUCUGUCGAACCCCUUCGACCAUGUUCACUCUUCUCGACGCUUCGUUUUGUGAUUCCAUACUUCUCGCUUCGAUUUUCCUCUUUUGCUUAGUCAAAAUUUGUUGGCUAACAAAUUUCCCCUUAAAAGGCCAGUUUCGAUUGAGAAACUUGGCGUUUUGUCUUUCCCAAUUUCGACUGGGUGUCUAAUCGUUGUUGAUAUCAUGCGCAAUGACGAAACCUUUAUGUGCCAUGAUUUCUAAGGGGAGAUAUCAUCAUUUGCAGUUACUUCCUAGGUCGUGGAUUUUCAACCACCUUUAUUAACUUUCCACUAUAGUAGAAACUGAACAUUUUUUUACCCUAGACUGUCUCUUGGUUGGCCUCAACUUUUGCUUACAAAUACCAUUCUUUCACAUUUUUUGUUUUCCUUCUUCUCUGUUUGCGUAUAUUUUUCUAUAACUUUCAGAACAAUAAUACUUUCCUCAUUUCCCUUCUUUCUUCCAUUAAAGUGGCCUCUUCUGCUAACGCUAUGGAUGCAGUCACCUAUAACACUGGUAACAACCCCGUUGCUUUCAACCUCACUGAAGAAGAAAUUCUAAAACCCAUUCCUCAACCAGCAUCUACUAACGAAGUUGUAGUAGAGAUUUGACAACGUCAAAUGCUCAUUCCCUUUGUUGUUGCUGAUAAAUUCCUCGCUUUCCACGAGCCAUAUCGAAAUACAAAAAUGCAAUUGAAAAACGUCCAAUCAUACUUUCCUUGCUUUACUCCAGCUGUUCCACCGGCCUUUGAGAAGAAUGGUUCCAUCGACCUGAAGUUCAUGGACCCAAAGGCCAGGGUUUUUAGGUCGAUGCCCACUCUUGGUAACAAAGAGUAUGUGGCUUGGCUCAACAAAUUCCAAAACAAACGUCAGGAAUAAUGGAAAACGGUUGGCAUCUUCGACUCCAUCCAAAUUUCGAGGAACCCCAUCGAAUCAACCCAUGUAUGUUACUUGCUUCGAUGUACUUCUGGGAAGGUUCGACUAACACCUUACAACUCCCUUAUGGCAUGUUUACGCCUACCCUUUUCGACAUGGCAGCCAUCACUGGUCUCUCAUCUCUGGGCGAAACCUUCGACCCAACUCUUUUGACGGAAAACAGUUUUGCCUUCAAUCGUGCAAGUUUUUAGAAUUACAUUGAAAAUCACUAUGAUCAGGACUCCACUGAAGUGUCCGACGAGGAACACAUUGCUUUCCUAACUCUCUAGCUCUCAUAUUAUUUGUUUUGUCAUGGCUCUCUAUAGAUAGCUAAGAGCUAUAUAAGCUUGGAGAUCCAAAAUCAUGAAGGUAGAUUGGUCUCUUUGGGCAAGCUUCUGCUAGCAUCUCUUUACCACUAUCUAGGGCUUACGACACUGAAGCUAAAGUUUCUCCACUCUACUUCUAAGGCCUUAAAUAUGUCUGGCCCUAUGUGGUGCUACAACACUAGCUAAAUGCCACUUUCGAGUAUCGGUUGGGUUAUCUUGUGUCGGUGUGUAUGAUGCGUUUGACCCAGGAUCAGCCUAUAGAAGGUGUAAGACUUGCCUUGAUGAUAUGUCAGGAGACCCCCUACAAACAUAUUUUCACGAAGUACAUUAAUAUGUUCAUUGAAGCCACCUCUUUUGUUCUAGGCAUGGCCCCUUUUGUGGAUAGAAACUUUGGUCUAACAUGGUUCAAAAACCUUUUUCCUGGUGACUCUCCAUAAGCUGUAGCACUGCCGAACACUGUGUGGAUGGCAUUUCUGACUCCCACAAUGUUGUCCUUUAGGAUAAAGAAUGGGUCGAAGGGGUAUGGAUUUAUGAACUAUCAGUCCAACUUGGUGGCUCAACAAUUUGGCUUGAGUGAGAUGCUGCCAAAAUCUUUGGUGUAUCAAUUAACUGAUAUUGUGUGGGCUGGUCAACAACUAAACUUUAAAGGUCACAAAGCUUGCCUUAAAUUUCACAAAUCGACUCAGCACCUUGAGUUACCCGUUUUCAAAUUUCACCAAUCAUUCUUAACGACCAAGGACUUCAACAAGUAGUGGUCUGAAUACCAACACAAGUAUUUCCCCAAUGCACUCUUCCUCCAAAAUUUGAUUGACGUUUUUUCUGCCCUUGCUGGUGAAACACUGGCUUCACAGCCGAAUACUGACGCUCCCGUCGAGAACAUACAAACUAUUGAUGCCGAUGAGGACCAACCAAAGAAGGUUAAUAUUGCUUUAUUUCCUUUCCUUUCUUUAAGAAGCAAAACCCACUUACCUUCUCUGUAUUUGUUUUCUAGGGUCGAAAGCGGGCUCCAGUUGCUGCGCCAUCUACUCCGUCCACUUCGGCAAGAAAGAAAAAGAAAGUUCCAGCCAAGAAACCAUCUUUAAAAACUCUUUCUUUGACUACAAAGAUUUUUGUCUCUGACGUUCUUAUUGAGAUCUUUAAACCCAUUGGUCAAGAAGAACCUAUUCCAACUUCCCCAAAACACGUAACUCCCGAGGUAUUUGAACAUUCUUGUUUGGUAACCUCAUGAAUUAUUCCUCGAUAUUGAUCCUAACUUCUUUUUGUAGGGAAAAACGGCUGAUUCGACUCUAUAAGACCCUAAUUUUGAUCCUAAGAUCCCUCAUGUUAUCUCAUCGUAUGCAUUGGGAUCACACUUUGGCAUUCUCCUUACCCCUCAUUCAUUAGGUUUGCAUUGGGAGAGAUCACCAAGCACAUUUUAUUGUAUCAUACUUCAUUUUUCUUUGUUUACUAACCAAAAUACCAAAAAUAUGUCAUUUGUAUAGAUUAACUCUUUUGUAGGUGGUGUGCAUGCUCACCUAUGCUCUAUCAAGCUCAUAUCUAGGGUUUAACACCCUCAUUGCAAGGAGCUCAAUCAAUAAUUGGUCUAUAUUGGCUCUAAUUAUCAUAUAUGAAUCCCCAUGAUCUUCACAUGUCAUUUUUAUCAAGAAACCAUCAAGAGUUGGGGGUUUUGUUUGCCUUGGAAACCCUAAUUCAUCUGGGUAUCUUGUGUGACUUCUUCAACAAAUUUCUCCAAUAAUUGAUCAAAUAUUCCAAGGUAUACUUCACAUUACAUCAUCUUAUGCAUAUAUGAUCCUCCAUGAGUCCCAAAAGUCAAGAGAAUGUCAAGCUAGCAAAUUGGUUCAUGGUGGUUGACCAGGGAAAGUUAACUGAUCAAAAUUGGGGUUCCCUGGACCCUAUCUCCUACAACUUUUGUCAUAUGAAAAUGAUUCCAAGAUCAAAGUUACUCUAAGUGACAUUUAAAACAACUUUCAGGUUGAGGUCAAGAUCUAAUUUUUCCUGGAAGGUCAUUUUUUAUGGUGAAAGAUUAUAGGGCAUUUUGUCUAAACCCUAAUUUAGAAGUCAACUUCUCAAGACCAUAACUUACUCAAUUUUCAUGAGAUGAAAGCCAAUAAAAUUUCAUAAUCAAAUUCAAGAUGUCUAAGUCAACUUUUAUGUUUGGAGGAAGUGCAAAUUCAACUUGCAAAUGCAUGUGCAAAGAGGAAACAUUAUAGGUCAUUUUGGGCCAAUACCAUUGAACAAGUGAUUUUCCUCAACUUCUAAAAUGCAUAACGCCUCCAUAACAAAUCCAAAUGAGGCCAAAUUUGUCACAAAAUUGAAUAGGUUUGAAAUAACUAUAACUUUGAUGAAGCAACCUUUCUCAUUUUAAGUUCAUAGAAAAAGUUAUUCAAGGUGGAAGAAGUGAACAUUUGACUUGGGACUUAGAAAUUUUUCAAAUAUGUUUGAUUUCUGAAACUUCCACCUCAAAAUUCAUCAUGAUCCAAGCUUCAAAUUAAAAAGUGUUUAACAUGAAAGUUGUUCCCCUUGAUCUCACCAUUCCAAAACAUCCAAGAUGAUAUCAUUUGGACCAAAAUUGAAGGACUUGCACAUGGUUUCAUUAUGGGAAGUGUUUUGGCAAGAUUGAACUUCACAUGAUCAUUUCCAUUUGCAUGUUUGCACAUGAUGGUUUCAGCAGACUUUGUACAUGAUUUGGAAGUGGAUUGCAUCACUCUUGAGGCCCAAAUGAUUGCUCAUGCACCCAUGCAAGGAAGUUGCUAAUUUUGUCCAAUUUUCAAGUGGUGCAAAUAUCAAACACAUUGCCUAUUUAAACAAGCUUAAGGCUUCAGAUUCAUGAUCAACACCUUGCCCAAGCUUUGUUAGACCUCUGCAAACCCUCACUGCCAUAGAAUUUUCUAAGAUUUCUUUUGAAAUCUAGCUUGAACUUCACCUUUUGUUUGGAAGUUAAAACCCCAGAAAGCAAUCAAAUCCAGAUCAAGAUCAAGUGAAAUUGGAUCAACUCGAAUGUGAUUUUUCAGAAAUUUCUCCUCUUCGAUUCUAUUUUAUUUAUCCACUAUUCUUGUUGAUUUUUGGUUGUCUGAAGUCCUACCAAUGUAGGCAACAAGAUUGAGUUCUUUGAGGUCAAAUCGAAGCAACUCAGUUCAUGAUCCUCAAAAUUCAACUCCCUGUAUCUUUUCAUAUACUUGGAAUUUGAUAAAAUUGAGGCCAAAUUCAAAUUCAUGAGCAUUUUUUUCUUUAAAUCCAUGUCUUGCUUUUUCAUUUUGGUGAUGGUUGAAGGUGGACCAGUCUGGUGAGGUCCACCGGAGAAGAAGAUCGGAGCUCUGUCUCCGGCGAUGUGUUGGAAGCAUCUCAACCAUAGGAUCCAUUCAAAUUAUUUUAAUCUUGAGCGUUGUUUCUAAUUACCAAGCGUGCAUCUUAGUUGACCCAUACCUUUGUGGAACGCGCGCUUUGGACCAUCUGAUCUGCCACCUCAAUUAAUGGGGGAGAUCAGAUGGUCCACGUAUUUUUGAAUUUUUGAAUUUUCAUUUUUAUUGCUUUAUUUUCAUUAAUUCAUAUUAAUUUCAUUAUUGAUCCAAAAAAUACGGGACUUUCACCAAAAAAAAUCAAAUGUUUGUCUCUUUUAUUUUCUGAAUUAAAAUUAUCUUUUGGAUCAAUAUUGGUAUUUUUUAUGAUUUAAUUGUUUUUGUGCAUAUUUUUAAUUGUUUAGAAAUACUUUUGACUUUUCAAAAAUAGUGAAAAAAUUUCUCCAAGGUCCUUUGACCUUGUUUGACCUAUGAUAAAUCUCUUGGCCAUUUAUUUCGUGUUUUGAAGAGGUUUUAGGUUUUUGAUAAAACAUAAUUUAAUUUAAUGCAUUUUAAUUUGAUUUUUAUUUGUUUAAAUUGUGAAUAAAUUGUGUUGAGUCAUUUUUAUUGACUUGUGGAGUUUGACUAUUGUGUUUGGGCCUUGGUUAAUGUUGAUUUGACUUUUGUUGGAUUAAAAUCAUUGGAUUUAGGGGAUUGAUGAAAUGUACAUUUCAUCUCCCAAAAUGAAUGAAUGAUUUUAAUUUGAUAAAAUUUCUCCCAUGACCAAUUUGUGUUUGAUUUUGUUGGAUUAAAAUCAUUGGAUUUAGGGGAUUGAUGAAAUGUACAUUUCAUCUCCCAAAAUGAAUGAAUGAUUUUAAUUUGAUAAAAUUUCUCCCAUGACCAAUUUGUGUUUGUCUCAUUCCCCCUCCCUCUUCAUCUUCAAUCCCUUUCUACCCCAUUCCUCUCAUUGGCCAAUGACAUCUCAAUAUCCCAAGGCUAAUUUAUUCAUGAACCAAUACAAGUAUGGAUGAGAUUGGGUCCACCAUUUAAUCAUUUUCUUUUUUGUGUGUGGUAUGUUUUAGGAGUAUGAUUUAUUAUACCAUAUCUCUAACAUGCAUUAACACCAAAAAAUUUAUUGCCCGACCUCAGAUAGUUGUGACUUCUACAUAAGUCCAAUUACGAUUGCUUAACAUAGCGCUAAAUUUUGAUCCAAAAGCAUAGCAUUCUAAUAAGUGAGAUUGUAAGUCUCCCCCCUUUCAUGGUAUUGUGUGGAAACUUGGUCUUUUUUCCUUCCUUUGGAAGAUAUCUUGGUUCAAGGAUCCAUGCUUGUGAAUAGAGGGUUGAGUGUUCUCCAAAGAAUGACUUAAACAAUUGAAAAGUAAAACUCCACUAACUUCUAAUCAACUAACCCUUGACUAACUCUUUAAUUUCAAGUCAUUUACUUUAUGCACUUUAAAUUCAAGCCAUUUAUCAUUUGUCAUUAUACAUAUCAUUUAACCUGUUUAUUUUUAAUGUCAUUUUCACUUUGCUCACUUAAGCCAUAGAUUGUGAUUGUAUAUAUUUGUUUGUUUAUCUUGUUUGUGUGUGUGGUCUUAGGACCUUAAAAUACUCAAUAAACAACAAAAAUCCUAAAAAUAUUUGUGUGGACUGUUGGAUUUAAUCUGAGCAUUGGACUUAGAAUUAGGCAACAUUCCCUAUGCAAAAGGACUUGGCCAAUGCCAACAUUUCUGAAACCAAGUCAUUAUGAUGUGAGCUUUCAUCUAAUGUAAGUUUUGGGAUCCACUUGAGUUCAUCUGCAACUUGGUAUUGAUGAAAAUGUUACUUUGAAUCUGUGUCUAAUGCUUUAUUCUGAGUCAUUCAAGGAGUAUGCCAUCUGAUACACGGGAGCUUAAGAAGAAGACUAUGAAGUUGCUAGCUUGGAUGUGGCUAUAUUUAUUUGAUGCAUUGCUCUUCAUAUUCCUUGUUUAUUGGUAUUUGUUUGAUUCUAAAGUCCAAAGGAAAAAUGGGUUUCUAUAUGACAUUCUUGUCUAUUGGAUUGCAUCCCAUUGGUCAGAUCUUUUCCACUCUUAACUUUUAAGUUUUUGCUUAGGACUAGUCUCUUCAUCUCCUCCCACUUCUUAAAUUUCAAAUCUCUCCCUCUUUUCAAAAAUCUUCUUUGCUUGUGAUUUUUAAACCUAGACCUUAUUGCAAACUAGAAACUUUGGCCUUAUACCAUUGCAUUUUUAAACUCUUUUCUUAAAUCAAAUUUGUAAGUGAAUCUAAUCAUAUUGACUUAAAAUUUCAAAAGACAAAAAGAACUAACACUCAUCCAAACUCUUUUAGGCCCUUUGUGCCUCUUUUUAAUUUAAAAUUUUAUUAAAUGCAAUUCACUCACUUUGAAAUUGAUACCAUAAACUACGAGGUUUUGAUCCCUCAUUUUCAUGUUGGUAUGUAGGCAUAAGUCUGAAGAUCUUGUCAAACACAAAAAUAUAAUUAAUGAGUUCUUUUCUCAUCUCCUCACUCUAUUUAUUGCAAACAUAAUUUUAUACUAAAACACAUGCACAUAUAAAAAAGGGCUUCCUAGGAGUACCUAUGACACUUUGGGUGCUAACACCUUCCCUCUGUGUAACCAACCCCUUUACCUGUAAUCUCUCGCAUUUUAUUAGUUUUGAUUUGAAAACUUCUUAUCUUUGGGUUUUGUUCGUACUUUUCCCUUUUCCUUUGGAAACAAUAAAAUCACGGUGGCGACUCUGGUUUUAUUGACGUUAAGUUUAUCCAUAACUUAAUGGUCAUGAAUUUACCGCUACAGACUCUUGCUGAGGCUAACAACAACGUAAGGGUCGAAACUGAGAAUCCAGCUGAGACUGCCACCCUUUUGAGUCCCCAAAAAAUUGAUGAGUUUCACGACACAUAUCAAAUUCAAGAUCCUUCAACCGCUGUUGGCAAAGGUAAUACAACCGCUACUAUUGGCGAAACCCUUUUGACUACUACUAGCAAUCUGAUUGGAAAAGAAAAAUCAAAUCCCCUAUCCUCUAAAAAAAUUCCCCCCUUGUGUAAGACAAAAGUUCCAAUGGUACUCUUUCUCUAGAGAAGAUUCUAUCUAUGAAGCAUCAGAAUCUAGCAGAGACAUUGAGAAGGCUAUAGAAGCAUCGCCAAGCAUCGACUGAUGUUCAACCCUCUGGCUCGACUGCCAUGCCUAUUCCAGAAAUGGAUGCUUCCGUCAUUCUCAAACUCCAACAGUGAAAAACCUAUUUGUUUGAGCGUGAAAUUUUGGUCGUCGUCGCAGAGGAAGAGGCCUUGGGGGUCGACGUCCUCAAGCUUCUUGACGAGCUUUCUCAACAUAAAGUUCCUGCUCCUGUGGCCAAAUAUCUGAUUGAAUUUGAAGCCUUCUUCACUCACCUUGUCAAAUACCUCACUCUUCAUCGGCACGUUGACUUCCAAAUUAAAACGAAGCUCAACGAGAUGAGACGAGAAUGGGACUUCAGCGAAAUUUAUGAAAGGAAACACAAUAAUUUUGAGACUAAGAAGCAAGAGCAUUUCAACUAACGACAAGCCUUUGACCAGAAAAUCUCAAACUAUCAGGCUCAAAUGGCUGAACUCGCCAAGAAAAUUGCUGAAGUCGAGAAACAAAAAGCCUCAUUAGAUUCAACUGAGACCCUGCCGGCUCAAGAUGUUAUUGAUUAGGAAGUUUUUAAAGGAAUUUCACAUGGUGAGAAGGCCUUUGAGAUUAAAGAAAGUAUUGACCAACUGCAGGAGAAGAGGGACCUCCUCGACAACAGGAUUGAUCAUGAGAAGACUCUUUUUGAAGACUUUAAGUCUAGAUUUCCUGCCUAAUGUAUUUCUCUGUCGAGACUAUGUAACUCCGCUUGGAGAUUCUGAAUGCCAUCUUGGCUUUUUCCAUUUUAGCUUUGAUCAUUAAUGACAAGUUUUAUUACCUUUUGAUUUGAAUCUCUUGGAGCAUAGGUUUAUAUUUUUUCAAAUAUUUCCCAUUUACCCUUAAGAUUUGUCGACCAAUACCCAACUCUUGAAUUUCAUAGGCAUUAUUCGUAAACGUUUGGAUUACUUGAAAUGGUCCCUCCCGAUUUGGUGACUAUUUUCCUAAAGUUUGAUCUCUUUGAUCCAUAGGUAAGAUCACCUUCCAAAAGUAAUCAUUUAUUGCAAAAGUUUCUAUCUUGGCCUUUUUAUUAUAUGCUUUAGCCACACACACUUUUUGUCGUAACAACAUGUCUAUUGCAGCCAACCUUUCUUCGUCUAAAUAGGUCUUUUCGUCGAACAUCAGUCUCCAAUAUUAUUCUGACGGAUUAUCGUUUUUCCGCUACACUCUAACUGAUUAUAAACGGAUUUUUGCUGGCAACACGACAUCAUGCCCAAAUGUCAAACAGAAAGGCGUUGAAUUGGUUACCUCCUUUGGGGGUGUUCGACAAGCCCAUAGAAUUUGAUCUAAUGUUUUAUGCCAAUUCUUAGGUUUCUUGGAAACGUUUUUUUAUUAACCCGAUUAUCACUUUAUUGGUUUCCUCAACUUGGCCAUUUUCUUGGGCGUAGUAAGGUGUGGAAGUAACCAAAUUGAAUCCUAUUUCAGCAGCAAACUCUUGCAUCUUUUGACAAACAAAAACUGAACCUUGAUUUGUAGUAAAGAUUUCAGGAAUUCCAAACCUAUGCACAAUAUGUUUUUGAAUGAAUUCAAUCACAUCCUCUUGAUCCAUUUUUAUCAAAGGGAUAACUUCUAUCCAUUUUGUGAAAUAGUCUAUACCUACCAGGAUAAAUUUUUGUUGUUUCAACGAGGCUGGUCGAAUCUCACCGAUUACAUCUAACGCCCAACCUCGAAAGGGUCGGGGAUUGAUGAUUACAUGCAACUCGUUGACUGACACAUGUUGAAUGCUUGCAUGUAUCUGACAUUCUUGACACACUUUGGAAAAGUCAAUGCAGUCUUUUGACACACUUGGCCAGUAAAUACCUUGUCAAAAUAAUAACCAUUUCAUUUUAUGGCCGUCUUAGUGAGCUCCACAUAUUCCACUAUGUACCUCAGACAUUGCCAAGUAUGCUUCAGUAUCCCUAAGAGAAACACUCCUUCUAGAGUCUUUUUCAAUAACUCAUUUCACAGACAUACAUAACUUAACGCUCUAUACUUGAUUUUCUUGUUAGUGUUUCCGACUGGAUUUUCUAAGCACUCCAUGAUUAGUUUUCUCCAAUCUGAUUGUGACAAAUUGUCAAUGGCAAAAACUUUAUGUAUUUCAUAAUUUUCAAAUUUUCCAAAAAUUUUACUUGACAUCUCCCCCCCAUUUUUUAGGAUUGCCAUUUUGGGUGACGACGAGACAUUCGACGUCAUCUUUUCUUUCACCUUCAUAAAGUCAUUGAGCCUAUCUUUUGACAAUUUAUACCCAGAUGCAAUUUGUGCUAAAUCGUUAGCUUCUUGAUUCUUUAUUCUAGGCACAUGUGUGAUGCUGACAACCUUGAAGUACUCUAAUAGGCGUUUCUCCAUUGCGAAAUACAACAUUAGAUUUUAUUUAAUGCACUUAUAUUCUCGUUGGAUUUGUUUGAUCACUAGCUCAAAAUCACCCUUUAUCUCGACCUUCUUGGCUUCUAAAUCCCUCAAGAUUUUAAGGCCAGUGAUUAGGGAUUCGUAUUCUGCCUCAUUAUUGGAACAAUUUACGUCGACUUUACAUUUGAACUUCGUCAGAAUACCUUGUAGGGAUAAUAUUAAGAUCCCAACAUCUGUUUCGUUUUUGCGACUUGACCCGUCGAAGUAUAACCUCCAUGGGUUCGUGUCGACCAUGUUUAGUGAUGGUUCGACUAUUGCAUGGUCUACAAUAAAAUCUGCCAAUAUUUGGCCUUUCAUAGACCUCAAAGGCAUAUAUGUUAAAGAAAAUUCAGUUAAUGCUAGUGCCCAUUUCCCAAUUCGACUAUGUAGAAUAGGUUUAGACAACAUAUGUUUAAUAACAUCAAAAUGAGACGAAGCAUAAACAUCAACUGGUUUUAUAUAUUGCUUUAAUUUUAUACAUUAGAAGUACAAUCAUAUGCAUAUUUUUUCAAUCAUAUUGUACCUAGUUUCAACAUCUAUUAAAAUUCGACUGAGGUAAUAAAUGGGUCUUUCGACACCACUGUCAUCCUCUUGUGCUAAGAUACUUCCUAUGGUUGUAUCUGACGCAGCAAUAUAUAACCUCAUAUUCUUAUUCAUACUAGGUGGAAAUAAAAUGAGAGGCUUUGUGAGGUACUCUUUGAUGGCGUUGAAAGCCUCUUGUUGCUCUCGUUUCUAGUGAAAAUCACUUUCCUUCUUGAUCUUGAGCAAUGGCGAGAAAACCUUUGUCUUGCCACUUAGAUUUGAUAUAAAUAUUCUCAAGAAAUUUAUCUUUCCUAACAAAGACCGGAGCUGCUUCUUUGUCGAAUGAGUCUAGAGAUCCAAAAUUGCUUUUAUUUUGUUUUGGUUGAUCUCGAUGCCUUUUUGUUGCACCAAGAAACCCAAGAAGUCUCCUGCAUGUACACCAAAAGCACAUUUUAAUGGAUUCAUUUUUAAUCCAUAUUUUCUCAUCCUCUCAAAUGAGCGUCGAAGAUGGUCCAAAUGACCAUUUUCAGAUGAAUACUUUAUCACAAUAUCAUCAAUUUAUACCUGCAUAAUAUUUUCAAUAAAAUCAUGGAAUAUGGCAUUCAUGGCUCUAUGAUAGGUUGCUCUGGUGUUUUUUUAAACCAAACAGCAUCACAACCCUUUUGUAUGUUCCCAAAGCUCUGGGGCAUCGAAAUGCCAUCUUGAGAACAUCAUUUUCUGCUAUGAGAAUCUUAUUAUAGCCAGAAUAACCAUCAAGCAUACUUAAGUAUUCAAAACCUGUGGCUGAAUCGACUAAGAUUUCUCUGGCCACUGGGAUCGAAUACUAAUAUUUUGGAGUUGCAUUGUUUAAGUCUCUAAAAUCUAUACAGACUCUAAGUGUUCCAUUUUUCUUGAUAACAGGUACUAUGUUGGCUAACCAUUUGACGUACCUUGCAGUUCUGAUGAACCUGUUGUAGCAGUAAAUUCAUGACCAUUAAGCUAUGGAUAAACUUAACGUCAAUAAAACCAGAGUCACCACCGCGCUUUUAUUGUUUCCAAAGGAAAAGGGAAAAGUACGAACAAAACCCAAAGAUAAGAAGUUUUAAAAUCAAAACUAAUAAAAUGCGAGAGAUUACAGGUAAGGGGGUUGGUUACACAGAGGGAAGGUGUUAGCACCCAAAGUGUCCUAGGUACUCCUAGGGAGCCCUUUUUAAUGUGUGCAUGUAUUUUGGUAUAAAAGAUAUUUGAAGAGUGCGUGGAUGAUAAAAGAAUUCAUUGAUUAUAUUUUUAUGUUUGACAAGACCUUCGGACUUGUGCCUACGUACCAACAUAAAAAUGAGGGAUCAAAACCUCAUAGUUCGUGGUAUCAAUUUGAAAAUGAGUGAAUUGCUUUUAACAAAAUUUUAAUAGAAAGGGGGCACAAAGGGCCAAAAAUUUGAAUGAGUGUUAUUUCUUUUUGUCUUUUGAAAUUUUAAUUCAAUAUGAUUAGAUUUAUUUAUAGGUUUAAUUUAAGAAAAGGUUUGAAAAUUCAUUGGCAUAAGGUCAAAGUUUCUAAUCAUUUAAACAGAGUCUAAGUUUGAAAUCACAAGUAAAGAAAGUUUUUUAAAAGGGGGAGAUAUUUUGAAAUUUAAGAAGUGGGAGAAGAUGAAGAGGCUAACGUAAGCAUAAAAUUAAAAGUUAAGAGUUGAAAAGAUCUGACCAAUGGGAUGCAAUCCAACAGACAAGAAUGCUAUAUAGAAAAUGCAUUUUCCCUUUGGACUUUGAAUCAAGCAAUAAUCAAUCAAGAAAUUAGCAAUAUCAGACACCAUGGAGAUCAAGGCAUCAAAUAAAGACAGCCACAUCCAAGCAAGAAAAUCCCAUAGCUAGUAGUCUUCUUUGUCUUCUCAUGUAUCAGAUGAAAUACUCCUUGAUUAACUCAGAAUAAGGCAUUAGACACAAGAUCAAAAUAACAGUUGCAUCAAGACCAUGUAGCAGAUGAGUUCAAAUAAAUCCCAAUACUUGCACCAGAUAAAGGCCCAAUUCACAAUAACUUGGUCUCAAAAUGUUGGCAUUGGCCAAGUCCUUUGCAUAUGGAAUGCUGCCUAAUCCUAAGUCCAAAAGUUCAAAUCAAGCUCAACAGUCCACUCAAACAUUUUUUAGGGUUUUUGUUUUUUAUUAGGUAAUUUAAGGUCCUAAGACCAUAAAAAGAAUCAAAAUACACAAGUAAAUAUAUACAAUCACAAUAUAUGGCUCAAAUGAGCAAAGUGAAAAUGACAUAAACAUAAACAAGUUAAAUGAAAUGGAAAUGGCAAUGAAUGGUAAAUGACUUAGAAGUUAAAUUACAUAAAGUAAAUGACUUGAAAGUAAAAGCAGUAUUAAUAAGAGUUAGUCAAAUGUUAGUCAAGGUUAAUUGAAUGUUAGUGAUAUUUUGUUUUUCAAUUGAUUAAGUCAUUCUUUGGAGAAUACUCAACCAUCUAUUCACAAGUAUGGAUCCUUGAACUAAGACAUCUUCCAUAGGAAAGAAAAAAGGCCAAGUUUCUGCACAAUACCAUGAAAGAUGGGAAACUGACAAUCUCACUUACUAGAAUGAUAUGCCUUUAGGGUCAAAAUUUAGCUUUAUGUUAAGCAAUCAUAAUUGGACUUAUGUAGAAGUCACAACCAUCUGAGGUCGGGCAAUAAAAAUUUAGGUGUUAAUGCAUGUUAGAGAUUUGAUAUAAUGGACCACACUCCUAAAACAUACCACACACUAAAAGAAAAGAUCAAAAGAAAUGGACCUAUCUCAUCCAUAUUUGUAUUGGUUUAUCUGACACAAGGUCACUGAUGAACCAAUUAGCCUUAAGAUAUUGAGACUUCAUUGUUCUAUGAAAGGGAUGGGAAAAGAAUAGGGGUGAAGAAUGAAGGGGGGGGGGGAGAGGGGGUGAGAGAAACAAAAAUUGGUCAUGGGAGGAAUUUUACCAAAUUAAAAUCAUUCUUUCAUUUUGGGAGAUGAAAUAUAUAUUUCAUCAAUCCCCUAAAUCCAAUGAUUUUAAUCUAAUAAAAAUCAAAUCAAUCUUGACCAAGGCCCUAACAAAUAGUCAAACAUCACAAGACCAUAAAAAUGACUCAACAUAAUUUUUACACAAUUAAUCAAUUAAAAAAUCAAAUUAAAAUGCAUUAAAAUACAAAUUUGUUUGGUCAAAACCUAAAACCUCUUCAAAACACCAAAUAAAUGGCCAAGAGAUUUAUCAUAGGUCAAGCAAGGUCAAAGGACCUUAGACAAAAAAUUUCAUGAUUUUUAAAAAGUUAGAAGUAUUUUUAAACAAUUAAAAAUAUGCACAAAAACAUUUAAUUCAUGAAAAAUAUCAAAAUUAAUCCAAAAAAUUAUUUUAAUUCAGAAAAUGAAGAGAAAAAUAUUUAAAGAUUUUUGGCGAAAGUCCCAUAUUUUUUGGAUUAAAAAUGAAAUUAAUAUAAAUUAAACAAAAUAAAGGGAUUAAAUGAAAAAUCAGAAAAUAAAAAGAAAUUAAAAAAAACAAGGGCCAUCAGAUCUCCCUCAUUAAUUGAGGUGGCAAAUCUGAUGGUCAAGCGCGCGCUUCCAUCCAACACCUCAGUCAAUGUGUGUACACACGUGGUAUGCAAAAGCAAGGGCUAAGAUUAAAACGUUGAACCAAUAUCAGAUGGUUGGAACCUUGCCAACACACCACCGGAGCCCUAGCUCCGGUCAUCUUCCCCGGUGAGGGCCACCAGACUGGUCCAACCUAAACUUCAUGAAAAAUGGAAAACAAGGACACUAAUUUGAAUUGAAAAUGCUCAGGAUCACAAAUCUAGCCUCAAUUUUCUCUAAUUCCAAGUAUAAAAUAAGAUACAUGGAUUUGAAUUUUGAGGAUCAUGAACUGAGUUGCUUCAAUUUGACCUCAAAGCAACUCAAUCUUCUUACCUAUAUUGGUAGGACUUCAGCCAACCAAAAAUCACAAAGAAUAGUGAAGAAUUGAGAGAGAAUCGAAGAGAUGAAGUUUCUGAAUUUUCACCUUCAAGUAGCUUCAAAUUUGCUUGAUCUUGAUUUGGAUUUGCUUGAUUCCUCUUCCUCUUGCUUGCAGUGACCAAUUUAGAUGGAAAGGGCAAUGCAAUCUUGAAGUUUGAAUUUCAAAACAAAAGGUGAAAUUCAAACUCGAUUUCAAUGAAAUCCUCAAAAAAUUUUAUGGAAUGAGGGGUCUGAGUUGUCUUGGCAAAGCUUGGGCAAGGUGCUCAUGCAUUUCUGAGCUCAUAGCACUUGUAUUUAUAGCCUUUUCAAAUGCUUUCCACACAAUUCCUUUAAAAAUCCAAAAAUAACAAUUACCUCAUGCAAGCUUGCAUGAACGUGUACAAAGCCUAAAGAAUGAUUGGAAUUGGUCCAAAAUCAUGCACAUGUGAUGCUGAAAGCAAUUCAUGAAUCCAUGCAAUGUAGAAUAGAAAUUGGUCAUGAGAAUCUUCCAAAUGGGACCAUUCAUUACACCCAUGCACAAGUCCUUCAGUUUUGAUCCAAAUGAGAUGAUCUUGGACUUUUUGGAAAGGUGAGACUAAGGGGGACAACUUUCAUGUUGAAAACUUUUCCAUUUGAAGCAUAGAUAAUGAUGCAUUCUAAGAUGGAUGUUUGGAAAAUCAAACAUACUUGAAAAUUUUCUAAGUACCAAGUCAAAUGUUCACUUCUUCCACCUUGAAUAACUUUUGCUAUAGAUUUCAAAUGGAAAAAUUUCCUUCAUAGAAGUUGUAUCUAUAUCAAACCUCUUCAAUUUGGUCACAAAUUUGACCUCAUUUGAAUUUGGCAUGAAGGAGUUAUGCAUUUUAGAAGUUGGGGAAAAUCACUUGUUUAAUGGUAAUGACCCAAAAUGACCUAUAAUGUUUCCUCUUGGCACAUGAAUUUUAAAGUUUAAUUUGAACUUAUUCCACACAUAAACAUUGAAUAUGACAUCUUGAAUUUGAUCAUGGAGCUUGAAUGGCUUUCAUAUCAUAAAAAGGAGCAAGUUAUGGU